rnacentral:tRNA from 1 species
GCGCCGGUGGUGUAAGGCGAACAUCGCUGCCCGGAAAGCAGAAGAUGUGGGUUCGAGUCCCGCUUGGCGCA